rnacentral:rRNA from 1 species
GAUUUCUGGUUGGACGUGUUUGGCCCGCCGUGGUUUCACGUGUGAGUGCUGUGAUUCGUCCUCCAUCCUUCUCGUACGCCUCGUUCUCUCUUCAUUGAGAGGAUGGAGUGCGUCGAGAUCGUUUACUUUGAAAAAAUUAGAGUGUUUCAAGCAGGCUUUAUGCUAUGAAUACAUUAGCAUGGAAUAAUAAUUUAGGACUUCGGUUCUAUUUUGUUGGUUUCUAGGACUGAAGUAAUGAUUGAUAGGGAUAGUUGGGGGUGCUAGUAUUCAGCGGCCAGAGGUGAAAUUCUCGGAUUCGCUGAAGACUAACUUAUGCGAAAGCAUU